rnacentral:rRNA from 1 species
GAUGAACGCUAGCGGCAGGCCUAACACAUGCAAGUCGAGGGGUAGAGUUCUUCGGGUCUAGUGGCGCACGGGUGCGUAACGCGUGGGAAUCUGCCCUUAGGUUCGGAAUAACUUCGGGAAACUGAAGCUAAUACCGGAUGAUGACGUAAGUCCAAAGAUUUAUCGCCUAAGGAUGAGCCCGCGUUGGAUUAGCUAGUUGGUGAGGUAAAGGCUCACCAAGGCGACGAUCCAUAGCUGGUCUGAGAGGAUGAUCAGCCACAUUGGGACUGAGACACGGCCCAAACUCCUACGGGAGGCAGCAGUGGGGAAUAUUGGACAAUGGGCGCAAGCCUGAUCCAGCCAUGCCGCGUGAGUGAUGAAGGCCCUAGGGUUGUAAAGCUCUUUCACCGGUGAAGAUAAUGACGGUAACCGGAGAAGAAGCCCGGC